AGCUCUGUGUAUGAAGUGACAACAGUGGACGUGUUAUUUCUUGGCUUUAGCAAAGCUUUUGAUACGGUCUCCCACUGUAUUCUUGCAAGCAAGUUAAAGAAGUAUGGGCUGGAUGA